GCUUGUCUCAAAGAUUAAGCCAUGCAUGUCUCAGUAUAAGCUUGUGCAUAGUGAAACUGCGAACGGCUCAUUAUAACAGUUAUAAUUUGUUUGGUGUUCAAGUUUACAUGGGUAACUGUGGCAAUUCUAGAGCUAAUACAUGCAUCAAACCCCGACUUCUGGAAGGGGUGUAUUUAUUAGAUGGAAACCAAUGCAGGGCAACCUGGAAUAUGGUGAUUCAUAAUAACUCGCGGAUCGGUUUACCGAUGCAUCAUUCAAGUUUCUGCCCUAUCAGCUUUGGAUGGUAGGGUAUUGGCCUACCAUGGCUUUAACGGGUAACGGAGAAUUAGGGUUCGAUUCCGGAGAGGGAGCCUGAGAAAUGGCUACCACAUCCAAGGAAGGCAGCAGG
rnacentral:rRNA from 1 species